UCCCCCACAGGCCGGAUCGCGCUCGCUAUCCAACCGUCGACGCCGCUCCCCUCAUCCUUCGCCGCGCCCCCACCACGCCUUCACCGACCGCCACUCCUGCUCGCCCGAAUCGACGCCGCCGUCGUCGCGGGUCGACAUCGCCGCUCCUCCUAUCGCACUCCUCCCCGCCGGCACUGCCUCCAUCCAUCCGCCGCGUCUCGCCGCCGGUCGCACCACCGAUCCAUUCCUCCUCUGCCGCCUGCUCUCCCGGUCCCUCCCGCCCUAUCGCCCCAACACUCCCCCCCCCGGCACCGCCUCCAUCCAUCCGCCGCGUCUCGCCGUCGGCCGCACCCCCGCUUCCAUCCAUCCACUGCAGAUCGCCAUCGCACGCCUCCGCCUCUCAAGGUCACACGCUCGUCGCCACCGCUCGUCGCCCGACACCCCGCCGAUUGGGGACCGGACGCUGACCCUGCAUCGACGCCACAACAGCCGACAGAUGGGAGAUGUUGAAGACCUCACUCCAACGACGGCUGCGCGCGGUGACACUACCAGGCGUUGAGGGAGAGAAUGAAGUGCAAGGUGCGACGGGGUUGUUCGUCCUUGCCCAGAUCAACGCCGCCGCCGAUCCCUCACUCGCCCCUCGCCCAGGUCGGUGCCAAGGGCGAGGUUCGCCAAUCUGCUUCCCAGCCGCCUCGCCCGCUCCAUGGGAGAGGUGACACCUGUGCCCGCCUCCAGCGCUCCAUGCCCCCGGUACCAUCCGAGCACGAUCCCUCCGGCAGAACUUCUGCCGGAGAAGGGACGCAUGGUUAAUUGGUGUUCAACGAAAUGCUGCUUAGCCAAUGUAUUACCAGAAAUUGAUUUCUCUAGUGGAUGAAAAUAAAAAAUGGAACGAUGCAGUGAAGAUUAUGUAAGCAAUGUUCGUGAUAUAUCGAUCCUGAAAUUCUCAUAGAUGGCCAUUGCACAAAUACAAAAAUUUGCAGCUCAAGAUGAACAACCACACCAACCCCAAGAUCACCAACUAAGCCUAUCCUGCUUCAUGAUUGUUGCUGCAUACUCCAACAUGCUUGCUGCUGGUGCAAUCUGAGCCGGCUGGUGGCAGAUGGGAGCCUGCCCUAUGUUGUUAGCAGCUUUCUUCACUCCAAGUCAUGCUUGCUGCCUGUGGUCUUGGUAGUUUCUUUUUUGUGUUGUCAAUUUAAUUAUUAGGAUUUCCCAUGUGCUCGGUUAUUGGUGUUCUUGUAUCUGUUUGUUUCAGGGUGUCAUUACUAUGGAGUAGAUCAUAUUUUUUUUCUUAUUUUUUCCAAUGCCUUGUAAAAUAACCAACUAGCAGGGAUGUUCAUAAAUUUCCCCCUUUUGUUUGGUUUUUUUCAGACAUAUAUAUAAUGAAGGCAUAUAUACACAAAAGGAGGAGCUGUUUGAGGGUCUAAAGGACAAUAGCUCAAUUGACUGGGAAGUUGUUGUCAUAUGUCGAGAGCAAUCUGCUAAAUGUUAAAGAGGUGCAUCUAACUUUUGUACCCAGUGAACUGCAAAUCUGCACCUUCUCUUUUUUGAUUAAUAGUUUCUUUGGAUUCAGAUCAAAAUAGCUCAACAUGGGAAUUUUUCUAGCAGAGGAUGGGCAAUUCUCGGAAAAUACUAUAUAUUUCUUGUCGUUGAAUGUGAUCAUGUCCCAUUAUUCUGGCACUUGCUGCCUUGAUUUUGUUGCCUGUGCCAGCCCUUUAGCUAGCUCUCUAUCACACACGAAUGCGUGACCCUUGAUGGUUGUAUGCAGUUGGGAUAUUUUGACUUUCGUUCUUUGGUUACUGGCGUGAGACGUGGGAGAAAGACGCUGAAGACAUCAAGCAUAACAUGGAGUUGAUAAAACAUCGUCGACUGAAUCAUGGACCUUGUCUUGGAUGUAGUUUCUUUGGCUGCUGGUUUAUUACACUAUAGUAAAACUAAGGACCUUGUAAUAGGCUCUUUGUGCUGGUCUGACGUGAAGUGAAAACCUUCUUAAUGUAACUUCGCUAAAAUUAGCGUUUUGUCUGUUUAAGCAGUAUUUAUGGUAUAAAGAAUUGCAUAUUGCAUUAUAUUGUGACAAAGAGUAUUUUCUGAAAUUU